CAGUCGCCGCGGUAAGACAGAGGAUGCAAGCGUUAUCCGGAAUGAUUGGGCGUAAAGCGUCUGUAGGUGGCUUUUCAAGUCCGCCGUCAAAUCCCAGGGCUCAACCCUGGACAGGCGGUGGAAACUACCAAGCUGGAGUACGGUAGGGGCAGAGGGAAUUUCCGGUGGAGCAGUGAAAUGCGUUGAGAUCGGAAAGAACACCAACGGCGAAGGCACUCUGCUGGGCCGACACUGACACUGAGAGACGAAAGCUAGGGGAGCAAAUGGGAUUAGAUACCCCCGUAGUCCCUGUCUCUUAUAA
rnacentral:rRNA from 1 species